CCUCCGAGAACUCGAGCACAAACGCUUAAAACUCUAAGGACUUGGCGGUGCCCUAAACCCCCCUAGAGGAGCCUGUUCUAUAAUCGAUAACCCACGAUACACCCGACCAUCUCUUGCCCAUGCAGCCUACAUACCGCCGUCCCCAGCCCGCCUUAAGUGAAAGAACAACAGCAGGCAUAAUAGCUACCCGCUAACAAGACAGGUCAAGGUAUAGCAUAUGGGAUGGAAGAAAUGGGCUACAUUUUCUAAUCUAGAACAACCACGGAAGAGGGCAUGAAACACCCUCCGAAGGCGGAUUUAGCAGUAA
rnacentral:rRNA from 1 species